rnacentral:rRNA from 1 species
AUCCUGGCUCAGGAUGAAUGCUGGCGGCGUGCUUAACACAUGCAAGUCGAACGAAGCCCUCGGGCUUAGUGGCGGACGGGUGAGUAACGCGUGAGAAUCUACCUUCGAGAUGGGGACAACCGUUGGAAACGACGGCUAAUCCCCAAUAAGCCGAAAGGUGAAAGGGUUUCCGCUCGCAGAGGAGCUCGCGUCCGAUUAGUUAGUUGGUGGGGUAAGAGCCUACCAAGGCAGCGAUCGGUAGCUGGUCUGAGAGGAUGAGCAGCCACACUGGGACUGAGACACGGCCCAGACUCCUACGGGAGGCAGCAGUGGGGAAUUUUCCGCAAUGGGCGCAAGCCUGACGGAGCAACGCCGCGUGUGGGAAGAAGGCUCUUGGGCUGUCAACCACUUUUCUCAGGGAAGAAGUCCUGACGGUACCUGAGGAAUCAGCCUCGGCUAACUCCGUGCCAGCAGCCGCGGUAAUACGGAGGAGGCAAGCGUUAUCCGGAAUUAUUGGGCGUAAAGCGUCCGCAGGGGGCACUUCAAGUCUGCUGUCAAAGGUCGGAGCUUAACUCCGGUUCGGCAGUGGAAACUGGAGUGCUAGAGGGCGACAGGGGUAGAGGGAAUUCCCAGUGUAGCGGUGAAAUGCGUAGAGAAUUGGGACGAACACCGGUGGCGAAAGCGCUCUACUGGGUCGCACCUGACCCUCAGGGACGAAAGCUAAGGGUAGCGAAAGGGAUUAGAUACCCCUUGUAGUCUUAGCCGUAA